rnacentral:rRNA from 1 species
AGUUCGAUCAUGGCCUAGAUUGAACGCUGGCGGGAUGUUUAUGUUAUGCAAGUCGAACGGCACGGACUCUCGGUCCGGUGGCGAGUGGCGAACGGGGUAGUAAUGUAUCGGAACGUGCUCAGGAGGAUAACUACGCCAAAGCAGCUAAUACUGCAUACGUUCUCUGGGGGAAAGCGGGACCUUCGGCCUCGCAAUUAGAGUGGCCGAUAUCGAUUAGCUAGUUGGUGGGGUAACGGCUCACCAAGGCGACGAUCCGUAGCUGGUUUGAGGACGACCAGCCACACUGACUGGAGACACGGCCCAGACUCCUACGGAGUGCGGGGAAUUUUGGACAAUGGGAACUCCUGAUCCAGCCAUCCCGCGUGCGAUGAAGGCCUUCGGGCUGUAAAGCACUUUUGGCAGGAAGAAACGGCACGGGAUAAUACCCCGUGCAACUGAUUUGCACUCCAGAAUAAGCACCGGCUAACUACGUGCCAGCAGCCGCGGUAAUACGUAGGUGCAAGCGUUAACGGAAUUACUGGGCGUAAAGCGUGCGCAGGCGUUCGGAAAGAAAGAUGAAAUCCCAGAGCUUAACUUUGGAACUGCAUUUUUAACUACCGAGCUGGAGUGUGUCAGAGGGAGGUGGAAUUCCGCGUAGCAGGAAUGCGUAGAUAUGCGGAGGAAACACUCCUGAUGGCGAAGGCAGCCUGGGAUAACACUGACGCUCAUGCACGAAAGCGUGGGGAGCAAACAGAUUAGAUACCCUGGUAGUCCACGCCCUAAACGAUGUCAACUAGCUGUUGGGGCCUUCGGGCCUUGGUAGCGCAGCAUCGGGUGAAGUUGACCGCCUGGGGAGGCUUUGGUCGCAAGAUUAAAACUCAAAGGAAUUGACGGGACCCGCAGCUGGGGCGGCGUGGAUGAUGUGAUUAAUUCGAUGCAACGCGCGAAACCUACCUACCCUUGACAUGUCUGGAAUCCCGAAGAGAUUUGGAGUGCGCCGCAAGAGGAACCGGAACACAGGUGUUGCAUGUAUGCCGUCAGCUCGUGUCGUGAGAUGUUGCUGCGUCCCGGCAACGAGCGCAACCCUUGUCAUUAGUUGCUGUCGGAAAGGGCACUCUAAUGAUCGUUAUGACAAACCGGAGGAAGGUGGGGAUGACGUCAAGUCCUCAUGGCCCUUAUGGUGAAUGCAAUACUGUCAUAAUGGUCGGGACAGAGGGUCGCCACCCGCGAGGGGGAGCCAAUCCCAGAAACCCGAUCGUAGUCCGGAUCGCAGUCUGCAACCUGACUGCAGGAAGUCGGAAUCGCUAAAAAUCGCGGAUCAGCAUGUCGCGGUGAAUACGUUCCUCGGUCUUGUACACACCGCCCGUCACACCAUGGUGGAGUGGGUUUUACCAGAAGUAGUUAGCUCAACCGUGUAGUGAGGGCGAUUACCACGGUAGGAUUCAUGACUGGGGUGAAGUCGUAACAAGGCAA